rnacentral:rRNA from 1 species
UACGUAGGGGGCAAGCGUUGUCCGGAUUUAUUGGGCGUAAAGAGCUCGUAGGCGGUUUGUCGCGUCGUCCGUGAAAACUCACAGCUUAACUGUGAGCUUGCGGUCGAUACGGGCAGGCUAGAGUUCGGUAGGGGAGACUGGAAUUCCUGGUGUAGCGGUGAAAUGCGCAGAUAUCAGGAGGAACACCGGUGGCGAAGGCGGGUCUCUGGGCCGAUACUGACGCUGAGGAGCGAAAGCGUGGGGAGCGAACAGG